rnacentral:rRNA from 1 species
UAGGGAAUCUUCGGCAAUGGACGAAAGUCUGACCGAGCAACGCCGCGUGAGUGAAGAAGGUUUUCGGAUCGUAAAACUCUGUUGUUAGAGAAGAACAAGGACGUUAGUAACUGAACGUCCCCUGACGGUAUCUAACCAGAAAGCCACGGCUAACUACGUGCCAGCAGCCGCGGUAAUACGUAGGUGGCAAGCGUUGUCCGGAUUUAUUGGGCGUAAAGCGAGCGCAGGCGGUUUCUUAAGUCUGAUGUGAAAGCCCCCGGCUCAACCGGGGAGGGUCCUUGGAACCUGGGAGACUUGAGUGCAGAAGAGGAGAGUGGAAUUCCAUGUGUAGCGGUGAAAUGCGUAGAUAUAUGGAGGAACACCAGUGGCGAAGGCGGCUCUCUGGUCUGUAACUGACGCUGAGGCUCGAAAGCGUGGGGAGCAAACAGG